ensembl:lncRNA
UUUUUCUUACUUUCUUUUUCUUUUUCUUUUCUCUUACUCCUACUCUUUCAUUAUCUUUUUUUUUUUUUUUUUUUUUUCUCUUUCUUUCUUGUUUUCAGUCUUCUAAGGUUUUUGUGUGUGUGUGUUUGGGGUUCCUCUCCUGUUUAACUUGGCUAAGGACGGACACUUGGAUGGCUUUCCCCACUGCACAGGACACCAUCUGCAUCAGCCUCCGGUUUUCCUAUGGAACUGUGUAUUUAACAUUCUUCAUCCUGAGAUGUUAAUGGGACUGAUGUCAGCAUCCACUCAGCACAGUUUUGCCAUCCAGCAUCUCGGCUCUUGUUACGGUUAAUGGAAAGGAGAGCAUUUAUGUACCUGCAGGAUCUUUUCCUAGUGUCCUCUGAUACAUAAAGAAGAUUUGUGAAACAAACAAAAGCUUCUCUAAGGGGAGAAGGACUGGACUAGAGGUACCUUCACACAUCGGAGAGUCCGUGGUUCCAUGAUUCUGUAUUCAAAGAAAGCCCUUCUGGAGUAGCAUGGAGACAAAAUAACUUCUCUGAUAGGAGAGGAACGAGUGAAAUGGCACCAAUUUAUCUUGAGACAAGCAAGAAAGGAAGCAGAAAAAGGCAUGAAAUGUUCCAGGUACCUGUCCCAGAAAAGAAGAAGAACAGCAUACCCCGGAGGACUUUGUAUUCAGAGAGGAGAUAAAACACCUGGCAAAGUCAUGGGACCUAGCUCUCUUCCCUUCUGCUCGUCCUGACUGCACAUCUCAUCUCAGCAUUAGAGUAAGGCCCUUGGCUUUUGGACAGUCUCUCUCAUUAUAUUUGAUUUGUUAGCUUCAAUUCUAAUUAUAUUGUAUUUUAUUGUAUUAUAGUGUGUUAUCUUUCAUUCCGAUGUUUUAUUUAGUAAAACAGUUCGCUUCUUCUCAGAUUGUUGCUGUUGUUCUGUUUUUAGGCCCAUCUCUCUACCCUUUUCCCCAUUUCUCCCUGUUUCUGUUUUCCAGGACACGGAUCCGUGGGUCCCUCUGUCCCAGUAGUCACAGAACUGGGCCAAACCAGCCCAUAAACCUUUGACAGUGUCUGACAUGGAAACAUACAUGAAGCAAAGGUGUGUCACUGAAUUCCUCUGUGCAGAAAAAAAUGGCACCCAUUGACACCAGUGCUUGCUGAAUGUUUUUUAUGGAGAUCAAGCACAGUGAACGCAGUGAGGUGAUGAGUGGCACAUUUCAGCAGUGGUUACAGUGACAUGAAAGACAAGACACAUUCCAGAUGGCCACGUAUGGCUUUCACACCACAAAAUGAAGAGCAUCUCAAUUGGAUCAUCUGUGCAAAUCAGUGGAUUACAACCAGGAAACUAUGUACAGAACUAGAUCAAUGUGUUGGGAAUGAUGGUGACAGUGUUGGAGUAUCGCAGCAUUUGAGCCAGGUUGUUCCUACUAAUACUCACAGAGUAACAGAAGGAACAUCAUAUGGAAGUUUGUCAGGACCUAUUGAACCAAUACAAGGCUGAAGGUGACAGUUUCUCAGAUCACAUCAUUAUCAGUGAUGAGACAUGAUGUCACCACUACAAGUCAGAGUCAAAACAGAAGUCCAUGAUGUGGUGGCAUGUGAAUUACUCACCAUAUAAAAAGUUCAAGACACAGCCCUCAGUUGGUAAAGUGAUAUGCACUGCCUUUUGAGACAGGAAAGGAGUGAUCCUUCUAGAUUUCCUGGAACCUGGACAAAUCAUCAACUCUGACCACUACAUUGUGAUGUUCACUAAGCUGUAGACUCAAACUUCCAGAAUGAGGCCAGAGAUAACCUGAUGAACAAGAUGGCUGCAUGAUAAUGCCAGGCUCCAUACCAUUUUUAAAACCGUGGAUCAUGUUGCCAGUCCUGUGUGGAUGUGGUAAGCUGUACUGUCUUACUACACCCACCACAUAGUCCAGAUUUGAUAUCUUCUGUGUGGGCUACAUUUUCUUAGCAGCUAUGCCACUACAGCAUCUGUGAAACAGUGGGUCCACUGCUCUACUAGUGCAGAUUUUUACAAGCAUGGCAUGCAAGCUGGCAAAAAUGCAUUGCUGGUAAAAAAUGCACUGGUAGUGGUGGUGACUAUGUGGAAGAGUAGCGUUCUGUAGCUGAGAGUUUUCUCUAUCAAAUAGUGCUAUUGUUCUCGUUGUAUCUGUUGUAGUUUCCAUGGAAAUAAAUAGGAAGCAUUAAUUUUGAAGCAACUUAUGUGUAAAGUACUGAUAUAAAUUUGUCUUUUGAUUAAGUUCCUUCCUUACAACUUUUCCUUUUGUUUCAGUUCUCUAAUUGGAAAAUGCAGAAAAAAAAAAAGCAGAAAUCUUCCUUUUAAAUUGUUUUAAGAUUAAGCUUCUUAUUAAAAGCAAACUUUACUUAUUAGAACCUUAAAGACUUAAAGAACCUUACUCAUUGAGGGGAACUACCUCAUGCUUUCUUAGUAGCAAUAACAAAAUGUUUUUUGUGUUUUUUUUUUUUGUUUUUUUUUUUUUUUGGUCACAUCCUGCUCAACUACAAAGGAUAACACAGAAAGUCUGCUUUUUAGAGCUGUUUUUUUUUUUUUUUUUUUUAAUCCUUAUACCCACGAGCUUCAGUCAUCUUUAAGAUUUAGUACUGGAGGGCUGCUAAUUAGAAUCAGAUUUGUAAUAGUUUUGUUCAUUCUUUUGAAGACCCUCAUGUAAGAAAUUUUCUGAUUAAUUAUCAAUAAACUUGAAAUAUAGAUGCAGAGAAUCGUAAAUAUAUGGCUACAAGGGAUCUGGUGAAGAUGUCUAAUUCAAUUACUUGACCCAUGGCAAGAUCAUCUGCAGCUAAAGUAUUUCUGACGUAUUUAUCAAGUCUAGUCAUAGGACUAUCAGCAGUGGACAUUGUGCAACCUCUCAAGACAAACUCUUUUCAAGACAAAAAAAAAAAAAAAUCAAAACACAGCCUUGUGUUCUAGAGACAGGAUAUAAAUUAUGGCUGUUUUUACUUCUCCUAGAUGAUGUGGUGGUAGCUGGGACUAUAUGAGAUGACUGGAUAUGUGUGUGAAUUGAUUGUCAGAUAAUCUUGUUUAUGAAAUAUAAGCAUGAUACCAGACUACAUAGUUUAAAGAUAAUUAUCUCAAGGAUUCUGACUUUAGACAUAUUAAGAAUAUGUUCUGGAUUCUUCAGAGAAUCCCAAAAGUUUUAAAAACACAAAUGUAAUUAGGAAUCUUUGUAUUCAGAAGUGGGAUGUGGACUUUAGAAAGACGUACAGCUCUCACCC